rnacentral:rRNA from 1 species
GAUGAACGCUGGCGGCGUGCUUAACACAUGCAAGUCGAACGGUGAAGGCGGAGCUUGCUCUGCUGGAUCAGUGGCGAACGGGUGAGUAACACGUGAGCAAUCUGCCCCUGACUCUGGGAUAAGCGCUGGAAACGGCGUCUAAUACUGGAUACGAGCUGCGGAGGCAUCUUCAGCAGCUGGAAAGAACUUCGGUCAGGGAUGAGCUCGCGGCCUAUCAGCUUGUUGGUGAGGUAACGGCUCACCAAGGCGUCGACGGGUAGCCGGCCUGAGAGGGUGACCGGCCACACGGGGACUGGGACACGGCCCAGACCCCUACGGGAGGCAGCGGUGGGGAAUAUUGCACAAUGGGCGAAAGCCUGAUGCAGCAACGCCGCGGGGGGGACGACGGCCUUCGGGUUGUAAACCUUUUUUAGGAGGGAAGAAGCGAAAGUGACGGUACCUGCAGAAAAAGCGCCGGCGAAAUACGG